UUUACAUGCCUUGGUUGAAGCAGAGGGGUCUUCCUUGGUCGACGUCUAUAGAGGCCACUUGGGUGCAGUACCCGCUGGAGUGUCUGCCUUGACAGAGUCACAGCGCUCAAACUUAGUUAGGACAGCCUUGGUAGUCGUCGUUGGAUUGUUUUCAACAUUCCGCUUGAUUUUUCUGGCAAGCUGAGGAAUCUCACUCUGUUGCACGGGAUGCAUCUUUUUGGAGAAGUCAGUGGGGAAAUACUUUACGGUUCUCUCAUGCAACAGAACGAUCUGGUGGAGUAACUACUCUUUAAAAACACUUCUGGUGUUUAGAAAAGCAACGAGCAAAAAAGAAAUCUUUUACUUUAAUGAGGGCAUUGAUGUUGAAGUGGACACCACAGACAGGCAUCCAUCCAUAAGGAAAGGAGGCAGCCAAAGGAGCUGCUCUUAUGAUGGAUGUCUCUCCUGCACCACGUCGCUGGGAUCCAUUGUUGGCAAGAAAAUGGCGCGGAAGGCAGAUGUUUCCACAAGGACUUGUCAGCACAAAAACAAAGAAUAAAAAGGUGACUAAAUAUGAAUUCCCCUGGCCGAGAAACCGGUCCCCUCUAAAUUGCUAAAUUCCUCCAUGAAGUCGGGUCCAUAGAGUUUGCUUAAGUCUGGCAACUCAGCAGUGAUAGAUCCAGGGUAAAAAUCGGCUACAAAGCUGUCAAGACAGGAUCGACCUCGGGGGGGCUGGCAGUCCUGCUCUUGUGCUUUUGUGCUCCUUCUUCUUCUCUUCUUAAUCUUAAAAAAAAAAAAAAAAAAUCACUCAUUUGGGAUUUGAACUUUCUUCCAUCAAAUUUCAGUAUUAUGAAAUUAAAAGACCUCAUAGCGCUCAUGCUGGCUUCUCCACAGUUUAACUGAAGUGAAGUCACUUUCCAAAUGCAAAACGAAUAAAUAAUUGUUGUAAUUAAUAAUACGACAGCAGUUGUUCUUAGUGCAUGCUUUCGUUGUAACUUUCUGUCACCCCAUGCAGCUGAGCAUAAAGUGACAUUGAGCACUGAGUAGUAAAGCCAAAGAUUGAACAAUGAGUGCCAUCUAGUGUCCAUCAAAAGUUAGUACAUGAUCAUGGAGCCUCUUCAGCCCAUCAACACUGGCUUUCAACAGGCACUCACAGAUGAACUAACUAGGGUUUGGUCAUCCAUGUCAGUAACAACAUGCUUUAAUGUUGCACAUGCGUACCGCGUGUUCGACCCUGGGGCAGUCUAGGUGUUGCUGUUCAUGCAGUCUUCUCUCAAGCAGGGCUCGCUGGUAGUACUCCUCCUUCUGCUGGGCAGUCAGAGACCACCACUGUGGACACAUGGCAAGACAGAAUUGAAUUGGGUGAUUUGGAUAAAAGGCAACACUCGCUGCAUUUCGUUUGAAGCCCACACACCCACCAUCUGUCCCAGAGCUUUACACACUACAGAGCCGUUGCUGAUCUUCAUCUCAGCUGCCACCCUGGACCUGUUCUCCCUCAUGAACAGCAUAAAGGAGUUUGGUGGCUUUUUGUUGUCCGUCUUUAAACGGGCUGCUUUUUUCUGUUCCCUGGUUGAAGAGAGACAUUUGAAACUUGAAAACACAAAACAAAAACCAGACAUUCAGUACAGGACAGAAAUUCAUAUAACCGACACACAAAAACAGUUCACGUCUCUGACACUCGCCAACAGAUUCAAAACGAUUAUUCAAUAUGGUACAGUAAUAUGAGAAAAUGUGUGGUCAACUGAACAACUUACAAGAGUCCAGAGGCAUCCAGAACGGUCCCAUUUGGACUCCUCAGCACCUGAAAAGCAUCAGCACAGUGUGAAAAUACAUCUAACACAAGCACCCAAUCCUUGUUUCUGUUGAGUUGUAACGACAAAUUGACAUUUUGUUUGAGAAAAUGUGAUUUCACGCUUGAUAUAAUCCAAAACGUACAGACGUGAUCAAUGUCACCGAUCAAACACACGAGGUGACACUAAGUUUAGACUGUGCAGAAUCUAGUCCAAGUCUCUCGGUUGGUGUUCCUCUGUCUUCUCCUACCUGUUUUGUCUUCAGCGAGGGGAUGCAGAUGACCUGGUUGCCUUGGGCGUCAUGAGUCGGUGCGUCCUUGGCACGUCUGGGAGAAGCCAAACCCACACCUGGCUGAGCCCUGUUUGGUCCAGACUGUUCCAGUGGGACUCUGGGAUGAUCGUAGGUGCAAACGAUCAUGCUGUGGCAGGAAGAUGGAGAAUGGUGGAAACCUGGAUCAACCGAUGACAGAAAGUUGGUGGCGGCGAGCUCCAUGUCUGACCGGAGAGUAGUGAGAACAAAAUCUAGUUCAGACUCAGACGUCUGUCUUUGAUGCCUUUAGUGCUGACGUCAUUUUUUAACGGUCAUCGAUCAGUGCUUCGUAUUUUUUUAAACUCGGGAUGCAAUGACGUCCAAACCGUCGCGUGCGAGUACGAGACCAGUACAAGAUGUACGCUGUGGAGAGGCAACCAAUCACAGACAAGACGGUCGAAUUCAGGCAACUCCAUACUGGAAGUGACCGCAUGCGGUAUGACGCCGUCAAUUCUCGGACGGGCUCGUUUUCGUGUUCACGAGUCCUCGUUCGUUACGACCAGAACGAGUUGUUCGAGUCGAAAUAUAGAGCGACAGAACAAGGAGCUAGAUCUCUGCCACCGACUUGAGCGAACGUGUCUUGGUUCAACGUCACAUACGCGCGCGCUCAACCUCGGGCUGCCGAGUUCGAAGUGUCAUACGCUCGCGCUCAACUCGUGCACAUGAGACUGCCACCAUAGUCAGCCAAUCACUGAGCUGCCGCUUGAAGUCCUCUGCUCUUAUUGGCUGAAACUCUCCACCAUUCACAAGACGCUUCAGUGGACGGGGAAGGCGGGUCCUGCUGCAACUGAAUCCUCAAUUAAGAAAAAUGGCGCGCGGCAAAGGAAACAGCGCUCAACAGCCUCAGGUGAGUCAUAGUCUUAAACGUUUUCUUAACCAAUGGAUUUGUUAUGAAACACAUGGAAUGAAUGGAGAUGUUGAAAGAUGCACGGUCCUCUACAUGAUGCUCAUUAGCCCCGUUGAGGAGAUGAGAAGCUCAGCAACAAGUUAGCAUGAGGCCCUGAAGCCAAGUGUCAGUUCGAGGAGUCAGGUUCGCUCUUUGGUUGACGUCCCUCUCUAAAUUAACCACUUUUUUUCAGGGGGGACCCCCGCAGUUUUACUGGAUUUAUUGGACACACCAGUUAUUUUCAUAUUAUAUUCAUAUUUAUUUAUUUUUGCUCAUAUGAUCGUCAAAUGUGAUGUGUGAUUAAUAUAAAAAUAAAUCAGACUGUGUUCAGUCAGUUAGUUUGCAAAGCAGUUUUUAUUAUUAUGGACUUGUUUCUGAUUCGCUGAACAGUUCAUGCCAGCAUUCUAUGAGCAACUAACUCUGUUGUCUUCUUCAGUGUUCAGAAGAGGAGCUUGACAACAACCCAUCACCUCCCCAUGCCUCGCAAGACACAAGAUUGUCUUCCAAAAUCAGUCCAAGCAGUGGAUUGACACACCAAUUUAUGUGGAGACAUAAAACAAUGCACAAAAUGACCUAAUAGUGCUCCAAAAAAAGACUUGACUCCUCAGACAGACUGGAAGACACAGUUUCCCAAAUCCAAGUGCCUCACCUGUGUGGAAACAUUGCAGCAGUACCCAAGCCCAGUUAAGGAGGUCAUACAGGAACACACCUCAAGAUCUGGAGAGAUAGUAACUAGGUACAGCCAACAGCCUAUGUCAUCGAAAAACCAUAGCCUGCGCCCCAAAUAAAAGCAAUCAUCAGUCAUCAGGGUGUUGUCAACAGUGGAAAAUCCCCAGCACUUGGCAUCACUGAUCCUGAAGAGACUUGAAGAGCUGGGAGUUCCAUUUGAAGACAGCAGUGGCGACAGUCACAUGACAACAUGAAAGGCAAAAAUAAGGGGGCGUUCAAGGUUUUAAUUGAGGUGAGAGAGUCCCAAAGCAUGUCGCUAUGUGACUGCGCAGAUACCAGCCAAGACAUUUGUUUGGAAAUGAAUGUGGUGCUUGAGGUCAGCAAAGGUGGCUUUUUGUUGUCCGUCUUUAAACGGGCUGCUUUUUUCUGUUCCCUGGUUGAAGAGAGACAUUUGAAACUUGAAAACACAAACAAAAACCAGACAUUCAGUACAGGACAGAAAUUCAUAUUCACGUCUCUGACACUCACCAACAGAUUCAAAACGAUUAUUCAAUAUGGUACAGUAAUGUGAGAAAAUGUGUGGUCAACUGAACAACUUACAAGAUGCAGACGACCUGGUUGCCUUGGGCGUCAUGGGUCGGUGCGUCCUUGGCACGUCUGGGAGAAGCCAAACCCACACCUGGCUGAGCCCUGUUUGGUCCAGACUGUUCCAGUGGGACUCUGGGAUGAUCGUAGGUGCAAACGAUCAUGCUGUGGCAGGAAGAUGGAGAAUGGUGGAAACCUGGAUCAACCGAUGAGAGAAAGUUAGUGGCGGCGAGCUCCAUGUCUGACCGGAGAGUAGUGAGGAGAACAAAAUCUAUUUCAGACUCAGACGUCUGUCUUUGAUGCCUUUAGUGCUGACGUCAUUUUUUUAACGGUCAUCGAUCAGUGCUUCGUUUUUUUUAAAACUCGGGAUGUAAUGACGUCCAAACCGUUGCGUGCGAGUACGAGACCAGUACAAGAUGUACGCUCGUGGAGAGGCAACCAAUCACAGACAAGACUGUCAAAUUCAGGCAACUCCAUACCGGAAGUGACAGCAUGCGGUAUGACGCCGUCAAUUCUCGGACGGGCUCGUUUUCGUGUUCAGGAGUCCUCGGUCGUUACGAGCAGAACGAAUUGUUGUAGAGCAACAGAACAAGGAGCUAGAUCUCAGCCACCGACAAAGCUGUCAAGACAGGAUCGAUCUCGGGGGGGCUGGCAGUCCUGCUCUUGUGCUUUUGUGCUCCUUCUUCUUUUCUUCUUUAUCUUAAAAAACAAAUGGGAAAAAACAAAUCACUCAUUUGGGAUUUGAACUUUCUUCCAUCAAAUUUCAGUAUUAUGAAAUUAAAAGGCCUCAUAGUGCUCAUGCUGGCUUCCCCACAGUUUAACUGAAGUGAAGUCACUUUCCAAAUACAAAACGAAUAAAUCAUUGUUGUAAUUAAUAAUACGAGAGCAGUUCUUCUUGGUGCAUGCUUUCGUAACUUUCUGUCACCCCAUGCAGCUGACCAUAAAGUGACAUUGAUCACUGUGUAGUAGAUGAAAACACCCCAGGAAUAGUUUCUUUAUUUUAACCCGAAACUUCCACCUGGACUGCACAUGCUCGUACAAACAAACACAGAUUUUUGUAAAUCGGUUUCUUGAUAUGCUGAAUGUGUGAAGGUCUGUUUUGUCAGGUGAACUGUUCUGGCAUUUGUGAAUAAUAGUGUGUUUUCAUGUUUUGUAUAUAAAAUAAGUUUAGUCAUUUGUAAAUAAUG